GAGCGAAAGGGAAUACGGUUCCAAUUCCGUAACCUGUUGAGUAUACGUUUGUUAAAUUGGGUUCUUUUAAUUACUNUAAUUAAGGUACUCAUCCUGGUAACAGGAACAACCAUAGAGAAGCCGUCGAGAGAUAUCGGAAGAGUUUUCUUUUCUGUUUUAUAGUCGCAUCACCAUGGAAGCCUUUCGAAGAGAGAUAUGGUGAAUUGUCUAGAAGAGCAUGGCAUUUACUGCUGUGUCGAUAUUUUCUCCUCGGACCUUGAAAAUCUAUGGUAGGGCCACGCAAAUUCUCNACAGACCGUACCGAUAUCCGCAGCUGGUCUCCA
rnacentral:rRNA from 1 species